rnacentral:rRNA from 1 species
UACGUAGGGACCAAGCGUUGUUCGGAUUUACUGGGCGUAAAGCGCGUGUAGGCUGACCGGAAAGUCGGGCGUGAAAGCCCUGGGCUCAACCCAGGAACUGCACUCGAAACUCCCGGUCUAGAGUGGUGGAGAGGGAAGUGGAAUUCCUGGUGUAGAGGUGAAAUUCGUAGAUAUCAGGAGGAACACCAGUGGCGAAGGCGGCUUCCUGGACACCAACUGACGCUGAGACGCGAAAGCGUGGGGAGCAAACAGG